rnacentral:lncRNA from 1 species
GUACUUUUUAAUAUUUUUAUAUAAGUAUGGUAACUUAUAACUUAAAAAAAAAUAACAAUAAUAUAAUAAUAAAGAAAUACAAUAAUAUUAUCUCAAACGGUUCUCUUCUGUGGGUUGUCACUGAGAAUUUAAAAUAUCUCAUAAAACAAAACAAAAAUAUAUGUAAGUAUAUAAAUUUCAGAUUUAUCAAAGACGAAUAGACGAUAUAUUGACAAAAAUAAAAAAUUUCGGACGCAAAAAACUGACGGGAUUACGCUCGAGACAAAAAUUGAUUUUAUUUUAAAAAAUAUCAUUGCAUGUGGUGAAACAGGUGGUCGAAAUAACAGGCGUUUAGGUACAUAAGACUUUAUACAAAAACAAGGUUGAUACAUUUUAUAUGAGACAAAAAAAAAAAAAUGUUCAACAUAUUUAAAAUUAGUGGCUAGAAUUUUUUCAAGGAAGAUAGAAUAGGUAAGGUAGGUCAGAAGACCUGUGAAAGUUAAAAAAAAAAAUUUCGACUUAAGUGAUUUUGCAGAGAUUAUCAAAAUAUAGGACAAAUAACCCCCGUUUUUUUCUCUGUGACAUAUCCCCCAGCAUAUUAAAAAAUAUUUGGGACAAAAUAUUGAAUACCUAUUCAAUAUUUAAAAAAAAAAAAAAAAAUUAUAAUUUUGAAUUAAAUUAAACUAAUAUAGAACAAUUACAUAUAAACAUUAAUUUAUGACAAAUUUAGCUGUAUAAUUUUUGAUACAUUUAUAUGAAUACUAUAUGAACUGGAAGGGGGAGAUUUUGUCAAAGAUCAUCAAAUGCAAAGAUUUUAUCUGUUUACCAAUCUAUAUGGUAAGAAAGGGGAGGGGGUAUAUCCCUUCUCCCAGUAAAUACGUUGCUACUGCAUGCCUACAAUAAUAAUACAAUAUAACAAUAACUAUUACAUUUUACUUUUUUUUCUUAUGGGUUUUGUGUAAAAAUCAACAUUGCGAUCAAACGCGUUUUUAUUUUUCUUGAGUGACAACCCUCUUUAUUGUGCGUGUGUGUCUGUUGUACAUACCAAUAACACUAUAAUCCAAUCUAUAAAAAAACAAAACGUCGCGUGUAUACGUGAAAUCAGUCGCACGAAAAUAUUAUUUUCGUUUAAAACUUUAAAUGUUUUUACACACAAGAAGUAUGAUUUUGUAUCUAUGACUAUAGUAUCGUUUAUAUAGAUGGUACCGGUUUAGAGUACAUUGUUAUAGUAUAAUGCGGCCCCACGAUAAAUUUUUCGGUCUCUAUUUAUCUUGCAUGUUUCUACCAUUGAUUAUUCAAUAGACCCGCGGUAAAAUAAAUAAGUAAAUAUUUGUACAAUUAAUGUUUUGAAUGAAUCUAAUAUUAUAAUUUAUAUUUUUAUAUUAAUUAUAUUGAGGUAUUUUACUAUCUUACACUCUGAUCAUUUUGAAAUAAAUUUAAAAACAAUAUGAAUAGUUCGAUUUUUAGUUAUAAGUGGCACGCGAAAAGAAAAAGUUUGAAAACCUCUGAAUAGACAGAUGGCCUACGGUAUGGGAAUAUUUGGCUACCACUCGUGAGACGCAGUCGCUGUGGAGCGCUGGAAUUGUUUGCACGAGAAUCGAUCGAUUAUAGCGCUUCAUAGUGGCUGCAUCCCACGGCCGAUAGUCAAAUAUUAACAUUCUUGAGCUAUAUCUAUAUUAUAUAAUCAAUGGUACCAAUACAUUUUCCUAAUUAUAACCUACCGUUCUACCAAUAAUUGUGGCUUGUUUGUUGUUUUAUUUUUUCUUUUUACUCGUAUUUUAAGUAGAUCCACGGUGGAAAUAUUGACGUAUUGCUUGUUUCAUCGUCGCUAAAUUCGAUAUUGUGUUUAUUAUAUUUUAUAAUAAUAUGCAUAUUCCGUUUCGAAAAUGAUAGUAUUGGAUUACGAUUUAAUAAUUAUCGCUUCAAGCAUUUCGCAUAAAUAACCCAACGGUCCAUGUCAGUUGCUUCGUACGUGGAGACUUUUGCACGGGUAGCGAAUUUCGCGAUAAUUUUGACUACUAUACUAACAUCAUAUAACAUUGAACGGAUCCGGCACGAGAAAUAUGCUAUACCCAAGCCAUAACGUCCGGGGGUAUUGAAUAAUAAUAACAAUAUAUACCUAGUCGAACACAACCUUGACCCGAGCGACUCUGACCUAACCGUUUAGAGGUUUUCGGGUGAACAAAUAGCAAUAAUCGUAGUCGGUGGUCUUUUGAGCACAGUAAAUAUGUAGGUGCGAAAAACUAUACGGAAUCGGCCCUCUGAUCGUGGACAUGUGGGAUGAAAAAAGCCUUAAACCGGUACCAUUAAUCGUUAUUAUAAUGUAUAAUAUUCUAUUCCGUACACGCUCGAGAAACGAAAACUUUUUCCGGGUUGCUUCUUGGUCGCCGUACAGUUACACGAGAAAAAAAAA